ACCCCGGGGUGGAAAGUUGUAGCGCUCAUGUUUGAUUUUUGAUAUACAUAAGCGUAUAGCUUUUCCCCUUCGGUU
rnacentral:pre_miRNA from 1 species